AUUGAACGCUGGCGGCAGGCCUUACACAUGCAAGUCGAACGAGUGGCGGACGGGUGAGUAACGUCUGGGAACCUGCCUGAUGGAGGGGGAUAACUAUUGGAAACGGUAGCUAAUACCGCAUACUAUUAGAUCUGCCCAGAUGGGAUUAGCUAGUUGGGGGGGUAACGGCUCACCAAGGCGACGAUCCCUAGCUGGUCUGAGAGGAUGACCAGCCACACUGGGACUGAGACACGGUCCAGACUCCUACGGGAGGCAGCAGUGGGGAAUAUUGGACAAUGGGCGCAAGCCUGAUCCAGCCAUGCCGCGUGUAUGAAGAAGGCCUUCGGGUUGUAAAGUACUUUCGGCAGGGAGGCGUUACCCGAAGAAGAAGCACCGGCUAACUCCGUGCCAGCAGCCGCGGUAAUAC
rnacentral:rRNA from 1 species